rnacentral:rRNA from 1 species
GAUGAACGCUGGCGGCGUGCCUAAUACAUGCAAGUCGAGCGAAUGGAUUAAGAGCUUGCUCUUAUGAAGUUAGCGGCGGACGGGUGAGUAACACGUGGGUAACCUGCCCAUAAGACUGGGGUAACUCCGGGAAACCGGGGCUAAUACCGGAUAACAUUUUGAACCGCAUGGUUCGAAAUUGAAAGGCGGCUUCGGCUGUCACUUAUGGAUGGACCCGGGUCGCAUUAGCUAGUUGGUGAGGUAACGGCUCACCAAGGCAACGAUGCGUAGCCGACCUGAGAGGGUGAUCGGCCACACUGGGACUGAGACACGGCCCAGACUCCUACGGGAGGCAGCAGUAGGGAAUCUUCCGCAAUGGACGAAAGUCUGACGGAGCAACGCCACGUGAGUGAUGAAGGCUUUCGGGUCGUAAAACUCUGUUGUUAGGGAAGAACAAGUGCUAGUUGAAUAAGCUGGCACCUUGACGGUACCUAACCAGAAAGCCACGGCUAACUACGUGCCAGCCGCCGCAGUAA